CAAGUACUCCCUCCGUCCAGAAUUACUUAUCAUCAAAAUGGAUGUGUCUAGAACUAAAAUACAUCUAGAUACAUCCAUUUCAAUUACAAGUAUUUUCGGACGGAGGGAGUACAAG
rnacentral:pre_miRNA from 1 species